rnacentral:rRNA from 1 species
GACAGAGGAGGCUAGCGUUGUUCGGAAUCACUGGGCUUAAAGCGGGUGUAGGCGGCCCUGCAAGUACUUUGUGAAAUACUCCGGCUCACCCGGAGAAUUGCUGAGUAUACUGCAGGGCUUGAGGCAGGUAGGGGUCACUGGAACUCUAGGUGGAGCGGUGAAAUGCGUAGAUAUCUAGAGGAACGCCUAAGGCGAAAGCAGGUGACUGGGCCUGUCCUGACGCUGAGAUCCGAAAGCGUGGGGAGCAAACGGG